rnacentral:rRNA from 1 species
UCAACGGAUAAAAGGUACUCCGGGGAUAACAGGCUGAUACCGCCCAAGAGUUCAUAUCGACGGCGGUGUUUGGCACCUCGAUGUCGGCUCAUCACAUCCUGGGGCUGAAGUAGGUCCCAAGGGUAUGGCUGUUCGCCAUUUAAAGUGGUACGCGAGCUGGGUUUAGAACGUCGUGAGACAGUUCGGUCCCUAUCUGCCGUGGGCGCUGGAGAACUGAGGGGGGCUGCUCCUAGUACGAGAGGACCGGAGUGGACGCAUCACUGGUGUUCGGGUUGUCAUGCCAAUGGCACUGCCCGGUAGCUAAAUGCGGAAGAGAUAAGUGCUGAAAGCAUCUAAGCACGAAACUUGCCCCGAGAUGAGUUCUCCCUGAGACUUAGAGUCUCCUGAAGGAACG